rnacentral:misc_RNA from 1 species
CACGGAGCUGAAGCUGAUAUUGGAUCAAAGGGCAUAGCAAGGAUAAGUAACAAUAACCUUAGUGGCCCGGGGACCAUAAAUAGAACACUGCCAAGUUCUGAGAUACCAAGGCAAGGGAAACAGGCUCCGUGCUUCAUGGUUUACCAGCCAGAUUUUGCUGAAGUAUAUAAUUUCAUUGGGAGUGUUUUUGAUCCAGACACCACAGAUCAUGUGAAAAAGCUCAAAGAAAUGGACCCUAUAAAUUUUGAAACU